CAUCUGCAUCGCCAUGAAUUUUUCAAGAUGUCUGCAAAACUUGCCAAAAUUUUUAAUUAAUGAUGUUCAUCGUAUCGUGGAUGCCCACUCCCCUGCUCCCAAUAGUAAACAGGAAAAGGGGUUUCGUCUGUACAUAUCCAGUUAUUUGCACCAGUACGACCGUAGUACUGAAAGAUUCCAGUCCUAUGGAGCUGAUGCAUCACAGCUGCACCUGUGUGGCUGGAGCAACUUUAUGUAACCACUGUGUGGCUUUGUUUUUCCAGUCAGCACAUUAUUCUCAGCUGAAGGUGCCAGUGGUCCCCCCUGUGCUGAGCUGAGGGAGAACACCAAUGGCACAAGCCCAGAACUUUGGGUGUGAAGCCAGGCCCUGUGCGUAAGAUGGCUGUGCUGUCUGCUAAACCAAAGUGUGGAGCAACAACAGAGGGUGUAAGGUGACAGAGAUGUAUAAGGACUUCUCUGCAGCUGAAGCGCCGGUGACCUGCAGCAUGGGCAUCAGCUGUGAAGUUCCUCUGGUUGACUCUGCCCUUGGCCUGGUUCAAGCUGGAAGUCCAUUGUCAUACCAGCAACAGCAAAGAGAGACCUGCUCUUCCAUGAUGCCCCACCACCUCCUUCUCUGGUUCUUCAGAAUUACCGCCUGCAGCCAUCCAGUUGCAUGUUUGUCUGCAGUGAACCACAACAGCUACACAUUAAAAGUCUUGAGGUCACUUGAUACACUGUGCACAAAUUUGAGUGUGCUACAAGACCACAAAGUUCAUGUGGUGAAUGGCAUCAGUUAAGGAGGCCUAGACUGACCGCCUCACGGUUCAGGGAGAUCUGUCAGGUCAGAGAGAGCUCUGUUGACAGUCUGGCUGACCGGCUACUUCGGGGGACCCGUCAGACUGCAGCUAUGAAGAGGGGGCUUGACAUGGAGGCAGACGCCAUCUGGGAGUAUUGCCAGAUGAAGAGGGUCAAUCACUACCCCUGUGGAUUUGUAAUCCACCCUGACACCCCUUAGUUGGGGGCAUCUCCCGAUGGGUUAAUUUUCGACCCUUCAGAGCCAUGUCAGUUUGGUUUGAUUGAAAUUAAGUGUCCAAAUGUUAAAAGCUACAUUGACUGCCCGUAUCUCAAAAUGAGUUCAGGCAAAUUGGAGCUCAAACAAACACAUGCUUAUUACUCACAAGUACAAGGGCAUAUGCUGAUAACAGGAAUGAACUGGUGUGAUUUUGUUGUCUCAGCUGAGGAAGACAUACUAAUUCAAAGAAUUUACAAGAACAGUGACAUGUUUGAUGUCAUCAAAUACAAAGUGGACAGGUUUUAUUUCCAUGUCUACAUGCAGAAAUGCAUGUAAUGUGUUCAAAUCCAGUCACUGUGUGUAAUGUAAAUAUGUUUAUUUUGAACUUGUAUGAAUUUUUGAUGUAAUGCUGAAUGUGUAACAGUGUGUUUACGUUACAGAUUAUUCACUGUAUGGAACAUCAGAUGACUGCUUUAUUAAAAUCUGAAC